GACGAACGCUGGCGGCGUGCUUAACACAUGCAAGUCGAGCGAGGCCCCUUCUUCGGGAGGGUGUCCUAGCGGCGAACGGGUGAGUAACACGUGGGCAACCUGCCCCCGGCUCUGGGAUAACUCCAAGAAAUUGGGGCUAAUACCGGAUAUGACCGCUGACCGCAUGGUCUGGUGGUGGAAAGAUUUAUCGGCUGGGGAUGGGCCCGCGGCCUAUCAGCUUGUUGGUGGGGUAGUGGCCUACCAAGGCGACGACGGGUAGCCGGCCUGAGAGGGUGACCGGCCACACUGGGACUGAGACACGGCCCAGACUCCUACGGGAGGCAGCAGUGGGGAAUAUUGCGCAAUGGGCGAAAGCCUGACGCAGCGACGCCGCGUGGGGGAUGACGGCCUUCGGGUUGUAAACCUCUUUCAGCAGGGACGAAGCCCAAGUGACGGUACCUGCAGAAGAAGCACCGGCCAACUACGUGCCAGCCGCCGCGGUAAAAC
rnacentral:rRNA from 1 species